UGGGGAAUAUUGCACAAUGGGCGCAAGCCUGAUGCAGCAACGCCGCGUGAACGAUGAAGGUCUUCGGAUCGUAAAGUUCUGUUGCAGGGGAAGAUAAUGACGGUACCCUGUGAGGAAGCCCCGGCUAACUACGUGCCAGCAGCCGCGGUAAUACGUAGGGGGCUAGCGUUAUCCGGAUUUACUGGGCGUAAAGGGUGCGUAGGUGGUCUUUCAAGUCGGUGGUUAAAGGCUACGGCUCAACCGUAGUUAGCCUCCGAAACUGGAAGACUUGAGUGCAGGAGAGGAAAGUGGAAUUCCCAGUGUAGCGGUGAAAUGCGUAGAUAUUGGGAGGAACACCAGUGGCGAAGGCGGCUCACUGGACCAUUACUGACGCUGAGGUGCGAAAGCGUGGGGAGCAAACAGG
rnacentral:rRNA from 1 species